CAGCCGCCGCGGUAAUACGUAGGUGGCAAGCGUUGUCCGGAAUUAUUGGGCGUAAAGCGCGCGCAGGCGGAUAGGUCAGUCUGUCUUAAAAGUUCGGGGCUUAACCCCGUGAUGGGAUGGAAACUGCCAAUCUAGAGUAUCGGAGAGGAAAGUGGAAUUCCUAGUGUAGCGGUGAAAUGCGUAGAUAUUAGGAAGGACACCAGUGGCGAAGGCGACUUUCUGGACGAAAACUGACGCUGAGGCGCGAAAGCCAGGGGAGCGAACGGGAUUAGAUACCCCUGUAGUCCCUGUCUCUUAUACA
rnacentral:rRNA from 1 species